rnacentral:rRNA from 1 species
UACGUAGGGUGCAAGCGUUGUCCGGAAUUAUUGGGCGUAAAGAGCUCGUAGGCGGUCUGUCGCGUCGGCUGUGAAUCCCGGAGCUCAACUCCGGGUCUGCAGUCGAUACGGGCAAACUGGAGUACUGCAGGGGAGACUGGAAUUCCUGGUGUAGCGGUGAAAUGCGCAGAUAUCAGGAGGAACACCGGUGGCGAAGGCGGGUCUCUGGGCCGAUACUGACGCUGGAGGAGCGAAAGCGUGGGGAGCGAACAGG